rnacentral:tRNA from 1 species
GCGGAAUUAGCUCAGCCGGUAGAGCGCCUGAUUUCCAAUCAGGCUGUCGACGGUUCGAUCCCGUCAUUCCGCUCCA